rnacentral:rRNA from 1 species
AGGCUUAACACAUGCAAGUCGAGGGGCAGCAUUUCAGUUUGCUUGCAAACUGGAGAUGGCGACCGGCGCACGGGUGAGUAACACGUAUCCAACCUGCCGAUAACUCGGGGAUAGCCUUUCGAAAGAAAGAUUAAUACCCGAUGGUAUAAUUAGACCGCAUGGUCUUGUUAUUAAAGAAUUUCGGUUAUCGAUGGGGAUGCGUUCCAUUAGGCAGUUGGUGAGGUAACGGCUCACCAAACCUUCGAUGGAUAGGGGUUCUGAGAGGAAGGUCCCCCACAUUGGAACUGAGACACGGUCCAAACUCCUACGGGAGGCAGCAGUGAGGAAUAUUGGUCAAUGGGCGCAGGCCUGAACCAGCCAAGUAGCGUGAAGGAUGACUGCCCUAUGGGUUGUAAACUUCUUUUAUAUGGGAAUAAAGUUUUCCACGUGUGGAAUUUUGUAUGUACCAUAUGAAUAAGGGUCGGCUAACUCCGUGCCAGCAGCCGCGGUAAUACGGAGGAUCCGAGCGUUAUCCGGAUUUAUUGGGUUUAAAGGGAGCGUAGGUGGACAGUUAAGUCAGUUGUGAAAGUUUGCGGCUCAACCGUAAAAUUGCAGUUGAUACUGGCUGUCUUGAGUACAGUAGAGGUGGGCGGAAUUCGUGGUGUAGCGGUGAAAUGCUU